rnacentral:misc_RNA from 1 species
UCCGGUUUGUCACCGGCAGUCUCGCAUGAGUCCCCAACUAAAUGCUGGCAACAUGCGACGGGGGUUGCGCUCGUUGCGGGACUUAACCCAACAUCUCACGACACGAGCUGACGACAGCCAUGCACCACCUGUGAUCCUGCCCCGAAGGGAAGCCCUGUUUCCAGGGAGAUCAGGAACAUGUCAAGAGCCGGUAAGGUUCUGCGCGUUGCUUCGAAUUGAACCACAUGCUCCACCGCUUGUGCGGGCCCCCAUCAAUUCCUUUGAGUUUUAAUCUUGCGACCGUACUCCCCAGGCGGGAUGCUUAAUGCGUUAGCUGCGCCACUGACGAGUAAACCCGCCAACGGCUAGCAUCCAUCGUUUACGGCGUGGACUAC